rnacentral:rRNA from 1 species
AUUGAACGCUGGCGGCAGGCCUAACACAUGCAAGUCGAGCGGAUGACGGGAGCUUGCUCCUUGAUUCAGCGGCGGACGGGUGAGUAAUGCCUAGGAAUCUGCCUGGUAGUGGGGGACAACGUUUCGAAAGGAACGCUAAUACCGCAUACGUCCUACGGGAGAAGGCAGGGGACCUUCGGGCCUUGCGCUAUCAGAUGAGCCUAGGUCGGAUUAGCUUGUUGGUGAGGUAAUGGCUCACCAAGGCGACGAUCCGUAACUGGUCUGAGAGGAUGAUCAGUCACACUGGAACUGAGACACGGUCCAGACUCCUACGGGAGGCAGCAGUGGGGAAUAUUGGACAAUGGGCGAAAGCCUGAUCCAGCCAUGCCGCGUGUGUGAAGAAGGUCUUCGGAUUGUAAAGCACUUUAAGUUGGGAGGAAGGGUUGUAGAUUAAUACUCUGCAAUUUUGACGUUACCGACAGAAUAAGCACCGGCUAACUCUGUGCCAGCCGCCGCGGUAA